rnacentral:misc_RNA from 1 species
CCCCCGCUGUUGUGCGGCCGACUGACAGUGCCAGUGUCCCUUCAAUCGUUGGCAAUUGUGUGCCUAUUGUUGCGAUGAGUGCUUGCGUGAUGCUACCAGUAACACUGGAAGUUGCAUUGCUAAGUGUUGCCUUUGCCGUGCAUGCCCUUAGGGCAUAUCACGACAACUAUGAAGCAUUCAUGGCGUUGCCUCGUGUAGCUGGCCGCAUGGGCUAGCAGCAUCAAGGCCACCUCAUGGACGCUAUUGGUCUUGGGUGCGGCUAAUUGUAAAGGCUCAAGGUGCUCUGCCACCUUGUACCUACAAAAAAUUGUCCGAUUGGAAACGACAGUUGGCCUGGUUGAUGCCUAUUGGUAGACGCUAGUGCU